rnacentral:rRNA from 1 species
AGAGUUUGAUCAUGGCUCAGGAUGAACGCUAGCUACAGGCUUAACACAUGCAAGUCGAGCGGUUUGUGCUUUUGCACAUUCAGCGGCAGACGGGUGAGUAACACGUAUCUAACCUUCCCCUUACUUGGGCAUAGCCUCUGGAAACGGAGAUUAAUUUCCGAUGUGGUGUACAUUUCGCAUGUUUUGCGCACCAAAGAUUUAUCGGUAAGGGAUGGGGAUGCGCUCCAUUAGGUAGUAGGUAGGGUAAUGGCCUACCUAGCCUAUGAUGGAUAGGGGUUCUGAGAGGAAGGUCCCCCACAUUGGAACUGCGACACGGUCCAAACUCCUACGGGAGGCAGCAGUGAGGAAUAUUGGUCAAUGGCCGGAAGGCUGAACCAGCCAAGUAGCGUGCAGGAUGACUGCCUUACGGGUUGUAAACUGCUUUUUUACGGGAAUAAUUAUGAUCACGUGUGAUUAUUUGCAUGUACCGUAAGAAUAAGGAUCGGCUAACUCCGUGCCAGCAGCCGCGGUAAUACGGAGGAUCCUAGUGUUAUCCGGAUUUAUUGGGUUUAAAGGGAGCGUAGGCGGGAGGUCAAGUCAGCUGUGAAAUGUAUCUGCUUAACGGGUACACUGCAGUUGAAACUGGUUUUCUUGAGUGCGUAAGAGGCAGGCGGAAUUCGUUGUGUAGCGGUGAAAUGCUUAGAUAUGACGAGGAACUCCUAUUGCGAAGGCAGCU